UACGGAGGGAGCUAGCGUUGUUCGGAAUUACUGGGCGUAAAGCGCGCGUAGGCGGCUUUGUAAGUUAGAGGUGAAAGCCCGGGGCUCAACUCCGGAACUGCCUUUAAAACUGCAUCGCUAGAAUCCGGGAGAGGUGAGUGGAAUUCCGAGUGUAGAGGUGAAAUUCGUAGAUAUUCGGAAGAACACCAGUGGCGAAGGCGGCUCACUGGACUGGUAUUGACGCUGAGGUGCGAAAGCGUGGGGAGCAAACAGG
rnacentral:rRNA from 1 species